GAUGAACGCUGGCGGCGUGCCUAAUACAUGCAAGUCGAGCGAACAGACGAGGAGCUUGCUCCUCUGACGUUAGCGGCGGACGGGUGAGUAACACGUGGAUAACCUACCUAUAAGACUGGGAUAACUUCGGGAAACCGGAGCUAAUACCGGAUAAUAUAUUGAACCGCAUGGUUCAAUAGUGAAAGACGGUUUUGCUGUCACUUAUAGAUGGAUCCGCGCCGCAUUAGCUAGUUGGUAAGGUAACGGCUUACCAAGGCGACGAUGCGUAGCCGACCUGAGAGGGUGAUCGGCCACACUGGAACUGAGACACGGUCCAGACUCCUACGGGAGGCAGCAGUAGGGAAUCUUCCGCAAUGGGCGAAAGCCUGACGGAGCAACGCCGCGUGAGUGAUGAAGGUCUUCGGAUCGUAAAUCUCUGUUAUUAGGGAAGAACAAAUGUGUAAGUAACUAUGCACGUCUUGACGGUACCUAAGCAGAAAGCCACGGCUAACUACGU
rnacentral:rRNA from 1 species